rnacentral:ncRNA from 1 species
CACGUGCCUCGUGACUCGGUGAAACUCCGAACCGGCGGUGAGAGCCCGCGACCCGGCCAUGGUGGUCGGUGAACUCUGGUGAGACCCCCAGGGCCGACGGUCAUAGUCCGGACGAGAGAGGCGCUGC